GCUUCCGUGGCGCAAUAGGCAGCGCGUUCGGCUGUUAACCGAAAGGUUGGUGGUUCAGCCCACCCGGGAGCG
rnacentral:tRNA from 1 species